GAAUGAAAGAAGCAAGGUAAUGAGCCAAAAAUUGACUCGGGUCUAUGCCUUCCCUCUCUGAUGCCUUUUGGCUUUGGUUUGGGAGAAUGGUUCAACAACAUAACG